rnacentral:rRNA from 1 species
UACGGAGGGGCUAGCGUUGUUCGGAAUUACUGGGCGUAAAGCGCACGUAGGCGGCUUUGUAAGUUAGAGGUGAAAGCCCGGGGCUCAACUCCGGAAUUGCCUUUAAGACUGCAUCGCUAGAAUUGUGGAGAGGUAAGUGGAAUUCCGAGUGUAGAGGUGAAAUUCGUAGAUAUUCGGAAGAACACCAGUGGCGAAGGCGACUUACUGGACACAUAUUGACGCUGAGGUGGCGAAAAGCG